rnacentral:rRNA from 1 species
AAACUUUCAACAACGGAUCUCUUGGUUCUGGCAUCGAUGAAGAACGCAGCGAAAUGCGAUAAGUAAUGUGAAUUGCAGAAUUCAGUGAAUCAUCGAAUCUUUGAACGCACAUUGCGCCCGUUGGAAUUCCAGCGGGCAUGCCUGUUCGAGCGUCAUUUC